rnacentral:rRNA from 1 species
AAACUGACAAGGAUUCCCCUAGUAGCGGCGAGCGAAGCGGGAAGAGCUCAAAUUUGUAAUCUGGCGCUUUCGGCGUCCGAGUUGUAAUCUCUAGAAGUGUUUUCCGCGUUGGACCGCACACAAGUCUGUUGGAAUACAGCGGCACAGUGGUGAGACCCCCGUUCACGGUGCGGAUGCCCAAUGCUUUGUGAUACACUUUCGAAGAGUCGAGUUGUUUGGGAAUGCAGCUCAAAUUGGGUGGUAAAUUCCAUCUAAAGCUAAAUAUUGGCGAGAGACCGAUAGCGAACAAGUACCGUGAGGGAAAGAUGAAAAGCACUUUGGAAAGAGAGUUAACAGUACGUGAAAUUGUUGGAAGGGAAACGCUUGAAGUCAGACUUGCUAUUCGGGCAACCGAGUUGCAGGCCAGCAUCAGUUUUUCGGGGCGGAAAAUCACGGUUAGAAGGUAGCAGUUUCGGCUGUGUUAUAGCUUUCCGUUGGAUACGUCCUGGGGGACUGAGGAACGCAGCGUGCUUUUUGCAGGAGCUUCGGCUUCAUCACGCUUAGGAUGCUGGUGUAAUGGCUUUAAACGAC